GUGCCGUUACGUCAGGUGGCGGGUUUUUCUGUCACAAGUUGCUUCUGGCGAGAGGGAAACGUCUGCUCUGAUGGAAAUGGCAUGGAAAUGUUUUCUUAUCAUGGGCACAUAGCAGCAUAGAAAUAAACACGCAAAACCAUCAAAUUUAACUUCAGGUUAAGGUUGGAUCACCGGACGGAGAUAGCGAACUGGACCUGUCAGCCAUCGGUGGAGGUUCAUGGCAUCUCACAGGAGCGCUACAGAUUAGCUCGGCAGAAUAGAAAUUGGGAAUUGGGUAUGUGUUGGGGGCUGUUCCUGCUGACCUUUCCAUCUCUGAAUCCGCUGAUCCGGAACCGUCUGAUACGGAUCUCAAGUUCCCGAAUCCCCUGUUCCUGAGGUUCCUACUGGACCGCGCUGAGCUCGACUGUUUGAGUUCCUCAGAAUGCUGAUUCUGCAGAAAGUUGUACCACAAAUCUUUGUUGAUAUUGGAAUAUUGUAUUUCAUUAAUCUCAUAAAUAAACAUGAAGAGUUUCCAUUUC